UACUCACUCUGGUAUUCCUUGAUCUUUCGGU
rnacentral:piRNA from 1 species